CGGUUGAUCCUGCCGGACCUCACUGCUAUCGGGGUGGGACUAAGACAUGCAAGUCGUACGCCUCCCAGCCGCCGGGGGAGGCGUGGCGCACGGCUCCGUAACACGUGGCUAACCUACCCUUGGGACGGGGAUAACCCCGGGAAACUGGGGCUAAUCCCCGAUAGGCGAGGAUGCCUGGAAUGGUUCCUCGCCGAAAGGGCACCGGAACCGUGCUUCCGGUGUCGCCCAAGGAUGGGGCCGCGGCCGAUCAGGUUGUUGGUGGGGUAACGGCCCACCAAGCCGAUAACCGGUACGGGCCGUGAGAGCGGGAGCCCGGAGAUGGGCACUGAGAUAAGGGCCCAGGCCCUACGGGGCGCAGCAGUCGCGAAACCUCCGCAAUGCGCGAAAGCGCGACGGGGCCACCCCGAGUGCCGCCCGCUGAGGGCGGCUUUUCCCCGGUGUAGAUAGCCGGGGGAAUAAGGGGAGGGCAAGUCUGGUGUCAGCCGCCGCGGUAAUACCAGCUCCCCGAGUGGUGGGGACGAUUAUUGGGCCUAAAGCGUCCGUAGCCGGCCCAGCAAGUCUCCCGUUAAAUCCAGCGAUCUAAUCGCUGGACUGCGGGAGAUACUGUCGGGCUAGGGGGGCGGGAGAGGCCGGCGGUAUUCCCGGGGUAGGGUGAAAU
rnacentral:rRNA from 1 species